rnacentral:rRNA from 1 species
AGAGUUUGAUCCUGGCUCAGGAUGAACGCUAGCGGCAGGCUUAACACAUGCAAGUCGAGGGGCAGCACGAGGUAGCAAUACUUUGGUGGCGACCGGCGCACGGGUGCGUAACGCGUAUGCAACCUACCUUUAACAGGGGCAUAACACUGAGAAAUUGGUACUAAUUCCCCAUAACAUUCGAGAAGGCAUCUUCUUGGGUUAAAAACUCCGGUGGUUAAAGAUGGGCAUGCGUUGUAUUAGCUAGUUGGUGAGGUAACGGCUCACCAAGGCAACGAUACAUAGGGGGACUGAGAGGUUAACCCCCCACAUUGGUACUGAGACACGGACCAAACUCCUACGGGAGGCAGCAGUGAGGAAUAUUGGUCAAUGGACGCAAGUCUGAACCAGCCAUGCCGCGUGCAGGAAGACGGCUCUAUGAGUUGUAAACUGCUUUUGUACUAGGGUAAACGCUUCUACGUGUAGGAGCCUGAAAGUAUAGUACGAAUAAGGAUCGGCUAACUCCGUGCCAGCAGCCGCGGUAAUACGGAGGAUCCAAGCGUUAUCCGGAUUUAUUGGGUUUAAAGGGUGCGUAGGCGGUUUGAUAAGUUAGAGGUGAAAUCCCGGGGCUUAACUCCGGAACUGCCUCUAAUACUGUUAGACUAGAGAGUAGUUGCGGUAGGCGGAAUGUAUGGUGUAGCGGUGAAAUGCUUAGAGAUCAUACAGAACACCGAUUGCGAAGGCAGCUUACCAAACUAUAUCUGACGUUGAGGCACGAAAGCGUGGGGAGCAAACAGGAUUAGAUACCCUGGUAGUCCACGCAGUAAACGAUGAUAACUCGUUGUCGGCGAUACACAGUCGGUGACUAAGCGAAAGCGAUAAGUUAUCCACCUGGGGAGUACGUUCGCAAGAAUGAAACUCAAAGGAAUUGACGGGGGCCCGCACAAGCGGAGGAACAUGUG